GGCGUGCCUAAUACAUGCAAGUCGAACGCACUGACGUCGACAGAAGGUGCUUGCACUGGAAGUUGAUUGACGUGAGUGGCGGACGGGUGAGUAACACGUGGGUAACCUGCCCUUAAGCGGGGGAUAACAUUUGGAAACAGAUGCUAAUACCGCAUAAAAGUUGAGAUCACAUGGUCUUAAUUUGAAAGACGGCCUUUGGCUGUCACUUAAGGAUGGACCCGCGGCGUAUUAGCUAGUUGGUGAGAUAAUAGCCCACCAAGGCGAUGAUACGUAGCCGACCUGAGAGGGUAAUCGGCCACAUUGGGACUGAGACACGGCCCAAACUCCUACGGGAGGCAGCAGUAGGGAAUCUUCCCACAAUGGACGACAGUCUGAUGGAGCAACGCCGCGUGAGUGAAGAAGGUUUUCGGAUCGUAAAACUCUGUUGUUGGAGAAGAACAGGGACUAGAGUAACUGUUAGUCCUUUGACGGUAUCCAACCAGAAAGCCACGGCUAACUACGUGCCAGCAGCCGCGGUAAUACGUAGGUGGCAAGCGUUGUCCGGAUUUAUUGGGCGUAAAGCGAGCGCAGGCGGUUUCUUAAGUCUGAUGUGAAAGCCUUCGGCUUAACCGAAGAAGUGCAUCAGAUACUGGGAAACUUGAGUGCAGAAGAGGAAAGUGGAACUCCAUGUGUAGCGGUGAAAUGCGUAGAUAUAUGGAAGAACACCAGUGGCGAAGGCGGCUUUCUGGUCUGUAACUGACGCUGAGGCUCGAAAGUAUGGGGAGCGAACAGGAUUAGAUACCCUGGUAGUCCAUACCGUAAACGAUGAAUGCUAAGUGUUGGAGGGUUUCCGCCCUUCAGUGCUGCAGCUAACGCAUUAAGCAUUCCGCCUGGGGAGUACGACCGCAAGGUUGAAACUCAAAGGAAUUGACGGGGGCCCGCACAAGCGGUGGAGCAUGUGGUUUAAUUCGAAGCUACGCGAAGAACCUUACCAGGUCUUGACAUCUAGCGCCAAUCCUAGAGAUAGGACGUUCCCUUCGGGGACGCUAAGACAGGUGGUGCAUGGUUGUCGUCAGCUCGUGUCGUGAGAUGUUGGGUUAAGUCCCGCAACGAGCGCAACCCUUAUGAUUAGUUGCCAGCAUUUAGUUGGGCACUCAAAUCAGACUGCCGGUGACAAACCGGAGGAAGG
rnacentral:rRNA from 1 species